UACGAGGGGUGCAAGCGUUAUUCGGAAUUAUUGGGCGUAAAGGGUGCGCAAACGGUGUAUCAAGUCUGUUGUUAAAUUCUCUGGCUUAACCAGAGAUUCGCGGCGGAAACUGAUGCGCUAGAGGAUGAGAGAGAGAAGUGGAAUUCUUGGAGUAGCGGUAAAAUGCGUAGAUCUCAAGAGGAACACCGAUGGCGAAGGCAGCUUCUUGGCUCAUUCCUGACGUUGAGGCACGAAAGCGUGGGGAGCAAACAGG
rnacentral:rRNA from 1 species